UUACUCUUAUAUCCAUUUUAAUUUGAAAAAUUGGGGCGAAACGAGGGGUUGAGGAAUGAAAAAAUUCUGAGAAAACUAGGAAGGAGAAAUACAACCAAUACGAAGCACAGCCAUGGUGAGGCCUACUAACUGAACCUCCACUUUUUCAUAUCGCAAUCACCUUUACUUUUUGUUAUUUAUUUUGCUACAGGCGGAAAUUUAGUCAGAGGUCGAUAUGAAUAUAUUCGUGCGUGUGUUUUGUGCAGGCAUUUUUUUUUUUUUUUAAAUUAAUUGGUGGGUUCUUGAUCAAUGUUCAGAUUUAUGUCACUUUAAGGUUAGAAAUGGUUUAAAAGGAAAGACCAUGGCUGGCUAAUAGAAGAAUUCUGGAAGGCUGUAAGUGAUAUCUUCUUUUCAUGUUUUGCCAUUCUUUUCAUGUAAGUAUACAAUCAAUGUGCAGUUUUGAAGUUAUCUGUUAAUUAUGAUAGUAUUAGAAGAUAAUUACUCUGAUUAAUUAUAAAUAAGUAUUAUGUUAUGUUGCUGCAGGACUGGUUGUGUAUUGCUCUAAAAGCUUUCAUUCAAAUAUGCUUUUUACAUCUUUAUUUAUUGUUAAUUUUAUUCUCAGUAAAUGGUGUUUAUCUUAAUUGGAUAUAUGAGUUCUACAUCUGGGUUUUUACAUCUGGGUUUUUGUGGUGAUGAACAUUCGAAACAUGGAAAUAAAAUCUUCAACCGUUAUCAGAUGAUGGUUUUGGCUGCAUUGUAGGUCAUAGAGUCUUUAGACAUUUAACAUCUACUUGAUUUUAAUUUAUUAACCCAUUUUCCAUUUGUUACAUUGAAUUGCACUGACAUAAAAUGAUUGCAUCACUUGUUUUGGUGUGAAUGCUGAUUCAUUUGACAGAAGAUGUCUGUUGUGAAAUAUCUAUAUUUUUACCUACGGUCCUACACAUGCAACAAAGUACUAUGGGAGUUGUGGCUUGUAUGUCGCCAUUCUCCUUUUCUAUCUCAGUUUCUCUCUGGGCUUCAUAUUAACUGUUAGGGUAAUGCUCAAAAGCUUGAGUUGCUUGAUUGAAGUCAUGUCGUCAUUUUCAGUAGCACCCUUUAAGGUGAAACUACUAGUGUGAGCUCUGUCAAGUCAUGUAUAACCUGCAUGUCAUAUUGUUACAGUUUCCCCCAUAAGCAAAUGAUACACAUCCAUUGGCACGAUGUCUCCAAACGUUGCGAUUCAUCAAGCUGUUCGACGAACUGAUAAGAUCUUGUUUGUCAACCAUUAACUCUGUCCACCUUUUCUAGCCUCAAAACUUAUAUGGUUUUGGAUGUCACUCGGUAGUUAACUCUAAUUUCUUCACCGUCUCUUCAAAAACCUCAUCAUAAAAUUGCCGAGGUCAAGUAUUGAACCGACACUUAAUCCCAACAUUGCACAUCGACUGGAUCAGAUUGUUAUGAAGUUGCUGGUAUCAUCACUAUAGACAUUCCUGUUUAUGAAAUGAAUCUUCGGAUCUUCUGAUAGCAAACAGGACAACUAAUUGGUCAUUGAUAACAAACUUUACCUUUUGGUGCAACGUAGAUGGGCCUUAUGGGGAAGGGCCUUGCUGUGUCUGUUUUGUCUUCCCUAAGGUCUAUUGCAUUGAAAGGUCAUCUCUGAACUACUAAAAAUGGCACCUUAUUGCCCUUUAACUGCUACCUGAAGUCUUGGCUUCAAUCUUCUCAUAAAAAACUAGUAGACUCCCACACAUAUCAUCGCCAACGUUUUAACGCACUAAGUUCUAUAACCCGAUGUGUUACUAUUUUUCAUUUCUUUUUUGCACCCACUGCCUUAACAUAGAUCCCACAAGAGGCUAGUGAAGAAGAAUGUGUUUAGUGCUUAGCCCAAAUCGUAAACAUCUCGAGUUAUGAACCAUAGCAUGCCAUGAAAUCUGAUUUUAAACUUUUAACCUAGGACAUGGAAAAAGUUCUAACUUUCAAUUUGCCCAAUUUGUCGCCAUAAAUUAUCUGAAGUACCAAACAACCAUGAAAAAAAUAUGAAACUUAUACAGUAAUCACAUAACUCAUCUACCAACAACAUAUCCAAAUUUAACGAUUUAUCAUCCGUUUAGUCAGUCAAAUUGAUCGACAAAGUCACAUGUCUACAAAUUUAUGGGUAAUAUUUUUGCAAUUCGUGAGAAUGACCAUAACUAAUUCUACGGUUGGCUGUCUCGGUUGACCAUUGCUUCUCCAACUGUAGUGUGCCUUGUUCCCUAUUGGUUCAACGGCGCCUCACAUGGCAAUGUGGUUACCUCCUGCUCCACACUCUAUAAUAUUAUUGAACCAAUAGGGAACAAAGCACACUCCUCACAUGGCAAUGUAUUGAGCCAAGACCAUAUCAGUUUGUUGCUUGAAUGUGUUACCUCCUUUCUGCAAGCUCUUCAUCCAUGGAUGAAUUGUGAUAUUUAGUAGUAUCAUUGGUGGCAUAUUGAUAAAUAACUCAAACUGUGCUCUAUAAGAGAUGAUGUGUGGAAGCAUACGAAGUAAACAAACAUGAGAUCAACUAAAUUGGUUGAUUCUCGAAUCUUAAUGGAUACUAUAAGUUGGAUUAGACAUGGAGAACACUGCAGAUCUUGUUACUUGAGUUAUAAAGUAAAUAUAGCUAAUCAAAUUGCUAAAGUAUGAAAUAAAAUAAGAUAGUUGUGAGCUCCCAAUGCCUCCUAGCCAUGCAGCACCUUCCUCUCCAUCUUUGGGUGGUCUAGUCUAUUCUCAAAUGUGUGGAUCACGUCUUUGGUUGCACCAAAUAUGUUGAUGAUUCUCUCCAAGUUCCUGUUAGUAGUAAUGAUAUGGACUAAUGGAGACGUCAAGGUUGUUUCUACUUUAGCAAUAUAUUACAACUUUUUUACUUGAUACCUAAUUUGAGAACUUAUUAUUUCCUACUUUUUUUAUAUUGCAAGUUCAACAAUAAAUUUUUGAUAAUUAAUUUUUAUGAUUGAUUUUCAAGGUGGUUUAUUGUAUAUUAUAGCCCUAUCUUUGUAUUUUAUGUUCUCUUAAAUCAUUUUAUUGGUUUCUUUCAAGGAUUGUGCCUCGUCUAAAAGAGGUAAAACUCCUUGGUCACGGAUUGAACCCUACAAGAGAUCAUUCGACAUUGUAUCCUCAAAUUGAUUUACACACUAUUAUAUUCUUCCAAGUUUUGCAUUCUCAAUUUUAUCUCAUUUUUUAUUCUCUAAGCUCCAAUUUAUUUUUAUUGUUUGUACAAGUCGAGUUUUAUAGAAAAUUGAAAAUCUUUCUUUCAGUUUCUUUUUCUUCAAAUGAAUUCUACAAAUCUUCAUCUCAUUAUUUUUACUCCAAUUAUGAUAAGAAAAAUUUUGGCAAGGCAAAGGGAUAGCUCAUGGAUUUACAUUUUCCUAUUAUUAAGAUUAAAAAAAUUGAAUGAUAUGACAAGCAAAGUAUUGGAUUUUUCUCCUUAUUGUUCUCUUAGAUUGCUUUCUGCAGUUUAUGAUCACCUUAUAUUCAUAAAGCUUUGUUAGAUUGGUUAUCGACUCCGGUGACACUGCUUUGAUAGGUUUUCUUGAGACUUGUUUGUGGCACUGUGCUAGGGGAUCUCCCUAAUUGUUGAUUGAGGUAUCCGACAUAGUUUUUAAUUCUUAGGAUGGGCACCAAUGUGGUGCCUUUCCUGCUACACUCCGACAAUUAAGUCGAUAAAUACUAAAGCCAAGAACUAAAGGAGUGCUGUUGCGUUUUUACUAUCGCAAAUGUAGAUAUCGAAUAAAUAGUAAGUGGACCUGUGAGUCCGGAUUGUCGUUCUCACAGGGACUACUUUAGAACUUAAUUUACUUUCUUUCUAACUACUAUUCGACAAAGCAGAUAAUGAUUUGUAUGUUUUGAAUUUUAAUUUAAAUGUGUAACAAUAUGUGCUUGCACACAAAGAUUGGUUCAGAAAUUAGAUAAUAAAUAAAUAUUAGGGCAGAAUAAUUUCACCUGUCGGUUACAUCUAAAUCUUAAAUCAAGAUUCACAAUCUAAUGUAGUGUUUGGUUGAAUUCUCCUAUUGUAUUCAAUUUACCCCUCUCGAGUUCUCAUUGGGUCUAUUUAACUAAUUCAAUUCCAAAUCUCUAUGCGAAUCAAGCUUAGUUAAACGAAUUCUUUGUUCUAGAAAUUCACUUGUGAUCGCAAUAAUUAGUAUAUGUAUUUUUACACGUUAUAUCAAUUUACCGAAUUUACUAUAUGAUCUAAAUCCUAAACCCAUCUCUCGUUUUGUAAAAGAUUCUCAAAAUCAUCAAAUUAGUGACCAAGUAAUUUAAUGCAUCGAACUCAUAGUGAAAUCAACACAUGAAAAAAAUAAAGAACACGAAUCUUAAUUAAAAAACAUAAAGGAUCCCUAGAAGGUUACAUUAUUCGCCCUAACAAAAAUUUUAGCUACUCAUAAUGAAAGAGAAAAAACAAUAAAUUAUCAUAGAAUACAUCACCGGAUUUUUAGUAUAUAUGUAGAAGAAAAAUUCAAUCUUGCACCAAAAUCAUCUUUCUCUUCCAAUCAAUCCUUCAAAUGAUGCAUUGCUUGUUGUUUUCAUCCCUUGAAUUGCUUCUUUAAAUCUUAAAAUGUGUUUCUUGCCCCCCAUUGUGUGCCAAAUCCCCUUGAAAGCAUGAAAAUUUUGUAUUUAUAAUUGUCCUCUCGUGCGUAGAAAAUAGGGUUUUUAUAGACUUCAAAACGGGUCAAAAUUUAUGCCCUAGUUACUCCGCGGUGACGCAGCGGUGCCCAAUGUGCGGCGUUGUAGCAUCGCGCUAUUUUUUGUUGGAAGCUUGUUUCUCUUGGCGCUGCAGCGUCCAGAGCAUGGCGUCACAGCUCGUGGUGCCAAACCUAUCUCUAGCUUCUUUUUUCCGUGGCGCUUUACCGCCACUAUUUCAGUGUCGAAACGUCACUCGUCCAAUCUGUAUUGUGCUUCGCCUCCUUUGCCCUUUUAUCCAAAAUUUCUUUUCGAUCCAUGCCAAUAACUUUAUUUGAUGAAUUUUUUCCAUUUCUUUCACCAUCUCGACAAUCCUAUAAAAGAACACUAAUAAACACAUAAAAAAUGUUCAAUACUCGCAAAAUCUAGCUUACAAUCAAGUUAAAAAUAACAUAAACUCAUGAUUAAAUCACACUCAUCUAGUGCCUAGCCACUUGCUAAUCUAAUUUGCUAUUCCUACUUGUUCGAGAGGUUUGUGGUCAAUCAAACUUGAUUUACUAUGAUACCAAAUAUAACUUUUUCUUUGAGCCUUAACUUGGUUAUCUUGUUUUUUCCCUUUACAUGGACAUCCUUUUCAAUGUUCAAACUGUUUUUGUCCAAUUACAUGUAUUAAACAUUCAAUUCACCUACAUGUUUACAUUGUAGCUUUUGGUUGUCAUUGGCUGCUAUGAAUAUCUUUGGAUUUGGCCUCAGACGUAGUUCCUACUUAUAAAAUUUGAGAUGUUCUUACUCCUAAAAGUUCUCUGACUCUAUUUUUAUCUAGGAUUGCAUCUCAGAGAACCAAGUUUCAAUCAUAUACCUAUAGCUGGUAAGAUUCUGCUUCCUUUUUUAAUAGAACAUCCUUCAUCACAUCCUGUGUGAUUAAUACAGCCUCAGUCACAUGCAUCUUUCUUUAUUCGUCUCUUGUUACUGUAAUAAUAUGUCGGCCCUCUGGUGGACAGAAAUUGGGUUAUGUUGCAGCCAAAAUCUGUCAAUGGGUGCCAUUUCAAUUGACCUUGGCGGUCUUGAAAAAUAAUGUGCCUGCAAAACAUACAUUUGACUGGAAAAAAUAGGAGCUUGUAUUUUGUAAGUGAAUUUGAUGGAGAGGAGUGGUAAAUCCGUUAUCUCUUAAUGGAUAAGUUUAUCUUCUUAUUUGGGUGAGAUAGUGAGAAGCCAUAUUUUAUUAUAACAGGUUGCAAGUGCACAAUAUCUUGAAUCUUUUUAUUCUACCACAGCCACUAUUAGUCUAUCCACCAUAGUUUUCGUGUGUGCCUAUUGUUUAUUGGGUUUUGUUAAGGUGCUCUAGAAAAUAAGUUACUAUUAGAUAUCUAAGCCCUGUUGAUGUUUGUUUAAUAACUCUUUUAAUAGCGCACUGGGAGGUGAGGGUUCAGAGGGUUCAGUUGUAGUGCCUCAUGGCCUACCAUUCUAUUAAAUAUGCUGAGGGAAAAAAAUUCAAAUUAUCGCUUAAAAGAUCGACCUUUUUAAGUGUAGUUUAAGCACUUAUAUGUUGAUUAUUGUUUUUACAUUUAGAAUUGUGAGAUUUUACCCUUAAUAUAUCCAACAAGAUGGCAGCUUGUUUGGAUUCAUCAUUCCUGGAAUCCAAAUGUCACUCUUUUGAGCUUUUUAAACUGUGAUUUUAUCGAGUCGUGAGUUCCAUCUUAAAAUAUCAAUAUUUUCACGAGAAAUAUCUUAAUCCUUAUAUGUUGAUUGUUUUUUUAUAUUUAGGUUUUGUGGGAGCUUACCUUCACAUCGAGGAAUUGAUCAUAAAUUUUUUCAAGCUGAAGUAUUGGAGAUGAUGUAGCUAUUUAAGGUAAUCUUUUCACAUUUGUAAUGUAGAACCGCUACUAAACAAUUUGUUUAUAGUUAUAUAUCUAGAAUUAGUUACAUGAAGUUUAUAUUACCCUUCUACUUUAUGCUUAAACAUUGCAAGCGCUGUUGGUAAAGUAUGAACAAAUUAUUACAUUGGCUAGACAUGAGUAGAUAAUAUUUUUAUAAAGGGAGUUAGACUGACAUGCAUAGUAGGUUAAAAUUUUCGGAACACAAAUCACCAAGUGAUGUUAAGGUUAGGCUCCAAACUUAGCCAUGUGGCACAAUAUGGCGAAAUAUUAGUGGUUGGCUCUCAAGACAGUAGUACUCACAUAAGGUGGUGACCAUUCAUGUAAUGGAGAGUUGGGCAUGAUGGAACCUGCGAUUCAUCUUGGUUUGAAGAAGAGAGACAUAUAGAUUAAUGGUUGAUGAGGGUAGAUAUGAUGUGGUCUUUCAUUCUGAGGAGGGAUUUUUGUGAUAGUGAGAACAAAAUAUCACGUUGGCUAGACAUGGAAUGGAUAAUUUUACGAGGAAGUUGAGCUAAUCCUUCUAAUCGGUUAACCUUUGAGAUGGAAUCUCACUACUGAACAAUAGUUCAUGAUUGAAUAAUUAUUGUAUAUUCGCUUUUUUUUGUAUUCUAUUUUUUCUUCCAUUCCUUUGUGUAUAAAAAAGGAGCUAAAAAGGUGAAAGAAUGGGAAAAUACAGAGAGAAUCGGACUCUCUUUUCUUUUGUGUUCUGUAAAAAACUGAUUGAUGUUUGUACAUUGAUUCUGUUUAUAGAAUUAGCUAUCAAAUUGCCAACUACAACUAACUGCUAACUAAUAGCUGUAACUAUUUAUUCCAGCUCAUCUUUUCUAACUAACUUCAACUGCCUGUAACUACAGCUUCAACUUUAGUUUUUGUUUCAGCUUCAGCCACCGAUUUUGCUUCAACAAGUUGUUGAGUUGUAAUAUCACCCUUCAAGAUGGACUUGUGCAAAUCAAUGAUUCCCAUCUUGUUAAGUAAGAAAGAAAACUGAUCUGCUCCCAAAGCUUUAGUCAGAAUAUCUGCCAGUUGGCGUUUAGAGGAAACAUAAACUGUUUUAAUCAACCCCUUCUGUAAUUUUUCUCUCACAAUGUGACAAUCUAUAUCUAUAUGUUUCGUCCUCUCAUGGAAAACUGGAUUGGAGGCUACAGGCAAGGCUGCUUUAUUGUCACAAUACAUUAAUGCAGGCUUUAAAUGGUCCACACCAUGGUCAUUGAGUAUUCUAAUAGUCAAAUCACUUCACAGCAGGUGGUAGCCAUUGCUCUAUAUUCGGCUUCAGCUGAUGACCUUGACACUGUUGUUUGCUUUUUAGAUUUCCAUGAAAUCAACGCUUCUACAAGAAAAACACAGUACCAUAUUACAGAUUGCCUGCUAUCUAUACAUCCUGCCCAGUUUGCAUCGCAAAAAGCCUUUAAUUGCAGAUCAAAUGUGCUUGACAGAAAAAUUCCUUGUGUUGGUGUAUGCUUAAUAUAUCUCAGAAUUCUGUGCACUGCAUCCAAGUGAGGCUUUCUUGGUGCUUGCAUAAACUGGCUAAGUGUCUGAACAACAAAUGCGAAAUCAGGUCUCGUGAUGGUUAGGUAUAUUAGCCUACCAAUUAGUCUUCGAUAUUCUGUAGGAUUGGCUAAUAACUGCCCCUCCUCACGAGACAAUUUCAAAUUUUGUUCCAUAGGAAAAUUGGAAUGACCAGCUCCAGUAAGACUCGAAUCUUGCAGUACAUCAAGUGCAUGCUUGCUUUGUGAAAUAGAAAAUCCUGCAGAAGAUCGAGCAAUUUUCAAGCCUAGAAAAUACUAGAUAGUGUGCCAAGAUUUUUAAUUUUAGAAGUUGAGUGCAGAUAGACUUUGAGAGCAUCAAUGCAAACCAGAUCGGGACUUGCAACAACUAUGUCAUCUACAUAAACUAGCAACACAUGAAUGUGGUAGAGUUUUGUAAAGCGAAUACGGUAUGAUCAUGUUGGGACUGAGUAAAACCAUAACUUAGGACACUUUGUGAGUAAAUUUGAGAUUCCACUAUCUAGAUACCUGCCGUAGGCCGUAAAGUGACCUUUCAAGUCUACAAACUGAAUUAGGAAGAAAUGAAGAGUAACCAGGUGGUAGAUUCAUGAAGACUUUCUCAUCUAAUUUACCAUUUAAAAAAGCACUAUCAACAUCGAGCUGAUGCACAUGCCAAUUUCAAGCAGUAGAGACAGCUAGUAAUGUUCUCACAGUUACUAGCUUGGCAAAAGGUGAAAAAGUGAUUGAAAAAUCCAACCUGUCAAUUUGAGUGUAGCCUUAGCAUAUAACGUUCCACUGUCCCAUUAGAUUGAAUUAGAUCUUAUAUAUCCAUCGACAACCAACAGAUUUCUUACCAGGAGGUAAGGUAAUUAAUUCCCAAGUCUGAUUCGCUUCAAGGGUGUCUAUCUCAACUUGCAUAGCCUUUCUCCAAUGCUCAAAUUUUACAGCUUGUUAGUAGUGUGUGGGCUCAAAGGUCGUAGAAACUGAGAGGCUAAAUGAUGCGGACAUCAUCCUCAUUUUAUCUUUUAGUUAUUUAUUUUGGGCUUAUGUCUUUUACUUAUUUAUUUUGGGCUUAUGUCUCAUUAGGCUUGUAUAUGGGUUUGGCCCAAGCCCCCAAGUUAUUGUUUUGUUAUUUAUGUUAUUGUGAUUGGGAUUGAAAGUUAGUAGAUGAUGAAUGAAUGAAUUGUUGCCUUCCACUCCUCUGUCUUCUCUCUUCCCCCUCUUUCUUCUUUCACGUUUUCCCUUCUCUUUCCCCGGCUUCUUCCUCUUCUGCUGUUUCUUCCUACAUCAGAUUUUGGUAUCAGAGCUAAUGCUUGGGAACUACUUUAUCUACACAGACAAUUUCUGUAUACACACCAAUCUGCCGCACUGUCCACCAUUCAUGCCUCAGCGUCCAACAACAAAUCCGACUUGCAAAUAGUUUCCUCACCAUCUUUUCCACCGCCACCAAGUUCUCUAAAUCUGUAACAAAUCUAGGCAGCCUCCUAACAUAACAAAUCCAUCCCUGCAAACCACCCUAGAAAAACCAGACACCCCCAAAUACAUGCACAACAUCCCAAUCAAACAAGGUAACCAUUAAACCACCACAUACAAAAUAACCGCCCACAAUCAUUUAAAUCGUAAUAACCCACCUCACAGUCAACCCCCAAAAGCUCGUUUUCACAAACAAUAACCACCUCUCAAGCAAUGAUUCGACCCCAAGCUUCCGAACAACGCCCAACAGCCUAUUCCUCAUAAGUCCAUCAUCUAAAACCGUCGCCUUUCAAUAACCCACCACCAUACGAUUAUCUCAUACAGUUAGCCCAUCCUCCGAAUUAUCACCUCACAAUUUAUACUCACGAAGCCACCAAAUCAACAGCCCAUUAAGCUCUAAUCAUACAAUACCCAUAAUCCAAACUCAAUCGCGAAUUCACCGUCGAAGAAGCCGGCCACUGCUGCUAGAAAUCGGCCCUCUAUUGACGCAGGAACCAUUCCUUUCCAUAGCCGAUGCACAAUCCACAUUGCAGAUCACCACUCUAGUCACCAACCCAUCGCACCGACUGAAUCACACAAAAAAAACUGACACCAACCGCUGGUCACCUUCACAGCGACGAAGCCUAUAAUCACUGCAGCCUCCAUUCAACCCCAGAUCUCCUGCCGAUUGCUGAAUGCAGAACUGCCGAGCGGUUUAGACAGUGGAAGUGGGUAUUUAAUUCAAUUGGACACAGUAGACUAAUUAGUAGUUUUGGGUAUCUUAUUAAUGUUUGGGCCUUGAAUUGUAACAGUUUUGCUUAUCUGAUUUUUAAGUUAAAAAAAAAAUAAAAAAAAGAGUUAUUUUUCUAACAUCGUUUUUCAGGUGCCUCUUUCAUUCCAGUUGAUUGGACGCAGCUUCUUCGAAUGAACGAAAGGAAAGUCAUUGUUUAAAUUUAUCCUCAGUUAUAUUGCUGUUUAUCUUGAAUUGCAUCGAUUAACUUUUGUGCUGUAGUCUUUACAUAAAACUCACAUGACUAGACCCUAUAUCUGUUAACUCUUCGACUUGUUAUAUUUUCGCAUUCCUCCCAUUUAUUUUACGUGAUUGUGUCCUUGACUAGUGUUUGACCACUGCUUUAUUAUUUUGCAUAGACUAGCAGUAUCAGCUUGACACAUUUGAAUUUUCAUAAUUUCAAAAAAAUAAAUAAAUAAAUAAAAAUAAUAAAUAAAUAAAAUAAUUUAAAUGCUGAAGUUGUUAUUUUCAUUUCUUGAACCAGUUGUUUAUUGAUCUCGUCAAUCAUCGCAUUAGGUUAGCGUUACGUUGCAUGCAUUUGCGUAGUGGUCGUUUUGUCAUACCAAAUUCCAAUACUGUGACCAUGGACCCAUCUCAAUUUGAUGCCCUUACUCGACAAUUAGCUCAACUACAGGCUCAAUUAACAACCGUCCAAACCGAGGUGACUACUACUCGUGAGGAGAGUAGAGAACUACCUGCUAGGGCGAACAAUUUAGAGCAAACCUCCCCCUCAACCGACGCUGAUAACUAUGAAGCGUCUCAUAACAUACCCUAUCGUUGUCGACAUGGUGGUCGACAGCGUGUUCGUCGUGAACGAAGGAAUGGGGGACAGGAGCGCAUUCAUGAACGAGGCCAUGACCCUUAUGGAACUCAUUCACCUCCUCACUAUGAGGAGUGUUACUUUCGAAACAUUAAAUUAGACGCUCCUACUUUCAAUGGCUGUUAGAUCUUAGAGUUUUUACACAGUGGGUUAGAGACAUGGAUCGCUUCUUUUCAUGGUAUGGAGUACCGGAGGAUCGAAGAGUUCAAUUUGCCAGUUUGAAAUUAACUGGUACUGCCCAAUUCUUUUGGGAAAGCGUUGAGAACCUUUUUGAAAGGCGUCAUGCACCUCCCGUUGGAGGUUGGGGGGAAUGAAGCGCCGCCUUCAAGAGAAGUAUUUGCCCCAUUCUUAUAGGAGCAAUUUGUUGAACCAAUGGAAUACCCUCACACAAGGAAACCGUCCAGUGACUGACUAUGUUACUCAAUUUGAUGAGUUCCGAAUGCGAUGCCACAUCGUCGAGGAUGAAGCUAUGACUUUAAUUAGGUUCAGACAAGGCCUACGAGAUGAUUUUCGGCGUGAGCUUGUCCUUCGAGGUGUCACCACUCUCGAUCACGCUUAUUCCUUAGUUCGAGAUUACGAGUCAAUUACUAAAACUGCGUAUGGAAGGCGUAGUGAUAAUCGUCCAUCCAUCUCAUCGGCACCACCUCCUCCCACCAAAUCUCUUCUUGGACCCUGGUGCCUCGAAUGAAGCGCCUAUAAAAAGUUGCUAAUCCAUGAAAGCUCUGUACUUCUCGCACGGUUUUAGGAGUUGGCCACACGCGUAUUGCUUUCACCUUUGCCUCAUCAACUUGAAUACCAUAUUUUCCCACCAUAAAACCAAGAAAUAAAAGUUGGUCGGUCAUAAAGUUGCACUUUUUGAGAUUAAUAUACAAUUUAUUUUCCUGAAGGGCUGAAAAAACUUCUGUAAGAUGUGCUAAGUGCUCAUCUUCAUUUUUGCUGUAAAUAAGAAUGUCAUAAAAAUAAACCACCACAAAUUUUCCCACAAAUGGACGAAGAACUUGGUUCAUCAAUCGCAUAAAUGUGCUCGGUGCGUUUGAUAGCCCAAAUAACAUCACUAACCACUCGUAGAGACCAUCUUUUGUUUUAAAAGCUGUUUUCCACUCAUCGCUAGGGCGUAUACGGAUUUGAUGAUAGCCACUCCUUAAAUCAAGCUUGGUAAAUAUCACUGCACCUUCCAACCUAUCGAGCAUAUCAUUGAGACGCGGGAUGGGAAAGCGAUACUUGAUUGUUAUUUUAUUAAUGGCACGACUGUCUAUACAUAUUCGCCAACUGCCAUCCUUCUUUGGAAUGAGUAAAGCAGGAACUGCACAAGGACUCAGACUUUCGCGGAUUAACCCCUUAUCAAGUAAUUCAUUAACCUGUCGCUGCAACUCUUUGUGUUCUGCUGGGCUCAUGCGAUAAUGUGGCAAGUUAGGUAAACUAGCUCCAGGUGCCAAAUCAAUAUGAUGUUGGAUAUUUCGCUUCGGGGGCAACUCGUUUGGUAACUCGUCGAGUGCUAUUUCAGCAAAAUCAGCAAGUACUUUUUGAACUUUGGUGGGAAUUUGUAUAGUUACUUCUGAUGGACCUUUAACAACCAAGGCCAAUACUGUGUGAGGCUCUUUUACUUAUUCCAAGAAUUCUGGGCUUGAGAUGUUGGUAAAAAGUGGUUUCUCUUCCUUGAUGGCAAGAUUGGUUUCCACAGGUUGAGAUUGUGGUACCAAAACGAUCUUCCUAUUUAACCACCAAAAUAUGAAAGUAUUAUCUCGUCCUUUAUAAGUGGCAUCAACAUCAUAGUGCCAUGGACGACCCAAUAAAAUGUGACAAGCAUCCAUAUCCACCACAUCACAUAUAAUUUCAUCCUUGUAAUAUUUUCCAAUUGACAAAGAAACCUUACAAAUCUCUAAAACUUGAAUUUUCAGGCCCCUUUUAAUCCAUGCAAUCUUGUAUGGCGAAGGGUGUCUCUCGGUCUUCAGAUUUAGAGCCUUUACCACUGCUUUCGAAAUGACAUUCUCACUGCUACCGCUGUCCAUGAUCACAUUGCAUACCUUAUUACGAACAGUGCAUCGAGUCCUGAAGAUCUUGUGUCGUUGCGAGGUAUCUAGCCUUUUUGGAGCAAGCAAAAGGCGUUGGAUAAUGCAUGCCAAUUCUUCCCCUGUAUCUGCAUUUGCAACAUCACCACCUUCAUAAUCAUUGUCUUCAAGAUUUUGCUCUUCCCCACUGUCGUCUUCUUCUGCAAAGUUAAUAGAUCGUCUGUCUGGACAGCUAUUUGAAAGAUAACCUGGUUGAUUGCACCGGAAGCACUUUCCCAGAUUAGGACAUGCAUAAGGGUCAUUAUUGGCUCGUGACUGUAUCUGAUUUCUGCCUUGGGUGUUAGAUCGAACAGGAGCAGAAGUUCCUCUUUGAUUUUGUGUUGAAUUUUGGACUAGACUAGCAUCCUUGUGGUUAUUGUUGUUGUUAUUUGAGGUUGUUGCACCCUUUGGAGUAGUAUAAGUUUCUUGAAUUGGUCGUAGAAAAUUUCCUGGAGUACGGGCUGUAGUUCUAUUCAUCUGAUUUUCCACUUUCAUUGCUAAAUUGAUUGCAUCUGUCAUGGUCCAAAUCUCUUGAAGGGCCGGUCGAUCUUGAAUGACUAAUUUCAAGCCUCCUAUAUAACGAGCAAUUAAUUGAGCUUCAGUUUCAGACAAAUUAACUCGAGCAUUUAAUCGAUAGAAUUCCUCUGUAUAUUCAUUUACUGUCCUGUUAUUCUGUCGACAAUUCUGAUACUGCUGGUACAAAAAUUGUUCAUAAUCCGGAGGAAGGAAUCGCCUUUGCAACAAGCGUUUCAUCUUGGGCCAGGUUUGCACAAGUUGCUUUCCUUGUCUUUGACGAUUAAAUUGUAAUUGUUCCCACCAUACAAAGGCUCCACCUUUUAAUUUGUACGCUACUUGUUUAACUUGACUUUGUUCCGAAAUAUUUAAAUAGUCGAAAAAAUUUUCAACAGUGUGGAUCCAAUCCAAAAAAUCUUCAAUAUUUAAUCGACCGUCAAAACUUGACAAGUCCAUCUUCAUCUUGAAUUCUUGAACAUUGGGACCUCUAUUGUUAGCCCUUGGUCGAAAAUUUUCUUCUUCUUCGGAUGAAUAAUUGAACCCACGUGGCCAUCUUUGUUGAAGACCCCUAUCUCUUGGUUGCCGAACAAAAUUAAGUCCUCGAUCAAAAUUACCUCUCCGGUCAAAAUUAAUGCCUUGGUCAAAAUUGUUGGCUUGGUCAAAAUUGAUUCCUCUUCCAUAAUCAUCCAACCCGUCACGCUAGUUUCCAACAUUGCGCCCAGUUUGACGAGGUUGUCCACCGGUUCCAGCAAACUCUCCCACUCCUUCGCCCAAAACUUCUCGACGGUGUUUGCCGUCAUCACUCCGGUCAAGGGGCCAUUUGUUUCGCCUUUCAUAAACCUGUAAGGGUACGGGGAUUGCUUCGCGAAAGUCGCGAUCUGCAACCAUAUUUCUGCGCACACCACGCCCAUCGGACCCUAGUCCAUCACGCCUUGCGCCUCUUCUGCAUAUCACUGGUCCUCCUCGCUGCCGGCGUGGGUUAUUAAUGUAACGCCCCGAAUUCUAAUAACCCGAAACGUUACGAAACAUGAAUAUACCUUGAAAUAAACAGUUUUAAUAUAACGAGAAAUUCUGUAAAAGAUUGAAUAACAUUUAAUCAAAAGAUAAAUUUAAAUAUGCGGAACGUUUGAAAACAUAUCAUUCAUCCAAAAAUUAUUAGAACAGUUAAAACUAAUUGAAAAUUUAUAAUGCACUCACAAUUGGGUCAAAAAUGAAUAACUCAUUAUUAGUUCUAGUGUUUUUGAAAAUUAAAAUACUUCAUGACGAGGAUCCGUUGGUCCAAUAGCAAAUCCAUCCACCGCCGUCCAACAUACUAAUUAUUACCUGAAAAUUGUAAAUAAGGGGAUGAGUAUAACGAAUUAUACUCAAUGAGAUACUUGCUACUCCACAUUCAAGUCAAACAUGAAAUUACAAAUAAAUUAUCUUACCAACAUAACAUGAGAAUUAUCACACCAUGUCAAAUUAUAAUUCUAGCAAGCGCUGCAAAAUAACGUGAAGGCUAAAUUGUGCCUUAAAAUGUAUCAUGAUUUCUCCCGAAGGAGCCUAAAUUGAAGUAAUUAAAUUCAUAAUAACGUAUUUGAAAAGAUGUGGAAAAAUCACUAAUAGCAAUGAGUAUCCCACCCUUUGAAGAUGAAAGUGGAGAAUAAAAUUACGGAAAUGUGAUUGCAAUUCCAAAGCCUUAAAAAAUCUAAAUAAUAUAGAGGAAUAUUUUAAAGAGGGAGAGGUAAUGGACGUGUAGUAGAAUGUGGUUUUAGUGCUCUAUUUAUACUGUUGAAAUCGGGUAAUCACGUGGGGGAAGUGGAAUUUCAGCCAUAUUUAAAUUCGUAUUUCAUGCAAUCUUCUGAGAAAUUGAUACAUAAUUCCCGAUUGAUAUAGUAUGACUGGAGAUUAAUUAUUGGUUUUCUGCCAAUUUCUAUAUCAAUUAUAAUUACAACAAGGAAAUGAUAGGUAUUACACUGCAUGACUUUUACACGUGGACGGGGAAAACGAAUCUGCCUCCUAUUUGCAUAAUUUACUCUAAUACAAACAUCUUAAAUUGUCAAUCUCCUAAUGGCCGAAAAUUAUAAAAUGUAUGCUUAUUAAUUAAAUUAGAAUUUCAGUCCAAUCUUUCCAAAAUUUGUUCCAAUUAGGAGACACAAUGAUUACUAAUUAUAUGGACACGUGAAAGUUGUAAUGAAAUGCAUGGGUUACUCAUGUACUAAAGUCUAACAUCAAAUAAUUCAAAUUCCUUUGAUUUGCAUUUAACUAAAUUUGUAAGCAGGAAUUACGUUUUAAUUGAUUACCUCUUAAUUAAAAAAUGUAUAAUUAUUAAUACUUAACAUAAAGACUUUGUUUAACCAAAACUUAAAAUUCUAAUUUAUUUAGCUAAACUAGUGGUGGCAGUCAACUGGCGAAAAAUCUAAUCCUUUAAAACUCUUAUAACCAUAAUAUUCUUUAGACGGCUAAAACUCGGGUUUAACUUGACCAAAUUAAAUUUUUCUUGAGUCCAUAAUUCGCCAUUUAUUAUGAGCUUCAAAAUGAACCCAAUAUUGGUAGAGUAAUUCUAACUCCUUCAAUAGUUAACUAUUUGGCCCAUUUAAUAAAGUAUAAAAUCAUUUGAUAUUUUUUUUUUUUCAAUUUGGUCCCUCAACUAAUAAGAUAACUAUAGAGAUAAUCAAUUAACUUGCAUAAGAACUUAACCAAACAUUGCAUUCCUAUUAAAUGACAAAUAAAAAUAUAUGCGAAUUUAAGUUAAAAAUUCGGGAUUCUACAACUAACAUGGGGUUGGCGUCGUUUACCCAAGCCUGGUUCAUCGUGAAGGUGGACUACUGAGUGUGAAUCCAUGCCUGCUGCAACCCUUUGAUUUCUUACAUCCAGGUGAACACCUUCUUCCUUGCUGUAAUCUGAUUCUUCUCCUUGUUGUCGGAUUUCUGUCCAAUUUGAUUGUUUCUCCUUGGGUUCGAGUCUGUACUUCACAGUUAACGCAGUCACCAUCUGCGUGAGAUUGCGAAGAGCCUCGUCAAUCCCCUCGAUUCGUUGUUCGAGUUUGUCGAGCCUCCGUUCAUCGUCGAUUGUCCGACUACCUCCAGUACCUUCGUCGGCCAUCGGAUUAAGGUGAAUUCCUUGCUCUGAUACCAAUUUUGGUGGGGAAACGUGUUUGAAUUCUUGUAAUAAGAAUUAUAAUGAAAGAAAUAUGAAACGAUAUAGGAAUAAUUUGCUUUAUUGAUUGAGCCCCUGUUUGAUCCCCAUUAAAUUACAUUCCAUUACAUUCUAUUUUUCUCUCUCCUAUUUUCAACCACACAAUCUUCCAUAAAAUAAUAUUACACGUAAAUCGAAAAAUUUUUCUUUUUUUUCAACCACUCAUUUUUUCAACAAAACACUAUUCCUCCCAUUCUCAUUACCAAAAACGGGGGCUGAAUAAUGAAUAAUUGAUUGAAAAUUGUACAAUAGCUUCUAUAUUUAUAGGCAGAUUAUUCCUAUUCCUAACAAUACUAGGAAAUUGAAAUAAGGAAACUAGUGAACUAAUAAAACUUUAUUCUAAUUAAAACUCUCAAUAAAAUAAAAGUCCUAACACAAGAAAAGAAACUCUUAGAAAAUAUAAAAUAUAAUUGUAGUAGGAAUCCUAUUGUAGUUGUACUACAUCAGACCCCCACCGUCUAACGCACUUCCUGCUUUAGACAAUAAAGGUAAAGCUCCGAAAACUUCAAGAACCUCUUCUCGUUUGCAAUGCUUCAAUUGUAAGGGCUUUGGCCACAUCUCCUCUAGAUGUCCGAGCUGAGCCUUAGUUAUUGACGAGCGAAAGGAUGUCGUUGAUGAGCCUUUAGAAGAUCAAGUCUAUGAGUCUAACUUUGAAGAGUUUGACAAUUUGGGUGAUAAUGAGGAUACCUGCUUAGGUUGCUUUCAUACCCUUCAUGUAGGUCUAGGUCCUACUUAUCUGGCCCCUGACACAUCUCGGUUAAGUGUUGUACGUUGUACCCUUAUCCAACCUAAGGAUGUCGAUGAUUGGCGCCGUCAUGCUAUUUUUCAUACUUAUAUCAAGAUCAACAAUAAAGGUUGUAAGAUUAUUGUUGAUAGUGGGAGCUGUAUUAACACGGUCUCUGUGACCACAGUAUCCCGUCUUGGAUUGAAGUCAGUCCCGCACCCCCAAUCAUAUAGCGUCUCCUGGGUUGACACUUCUUCUAUAGCUGUGAAAGAGCAUUGUCUGGUGCCUAUCCAAUUUCUUGGGUAUAAGGAUCAUAUAUGGUGUGACGUUAUCCCUAUGGAUGUUGGGCAUGUCAUUCUUGGUCGACCUUGGUUGUUCGAUCUGGAUGUAACUAUCCAUGGGCGAUCAAAUUCAUGUUCUUUUGUAUUUAAUGGAAAGAAGAUUCACCUUAAUCCUUUAUCACCAAAAUCUGUUGACUUACACCAAGCCAAAAAAAUUGUCGAGAGGAAAGGAUUACAUGUGAUUAGCCCGGCAGAAAUUGAACGGACAAUCGUAAAUGACUCAAUCGUAUUUGUUGUGAUUGUUAUGGAAGUCCCGUUUGAUCCCCCAAUAGCGACCCCUACUGAAGCCCAAUCACUCCUUCAGGAAUUUAAGGAUGUAUUUCCUGACGACCUCCCUGAUCUACUGCCUACCUUACGGGAUAUUCAACAUGCUAUAGAUCUGGUUCCAGGUUCGUCUCUCCCAAACUUGCCUCACUAUAGAAUGAAUCCUGCUGAACAUGCCGAGCUCCAGAGACAAGUGGGUGAACUCUUUCACAAAGGCUUCAUCCGUGAAAGUUUAAGCCCUGGUGCAGUGCCCGCCCUCAUGACACCUAAGAAGAAUGGUUCUUGGAAGAUUUGCGUUGAUAGUCGCGCUAUCAAUAAAAUCACUGUCAAGUAUCGUUUUCCCAUCCCUCGACUUGAUGAUAUGCUAGAUAUGAUGGUCGAUGCCACAAUCUUUUCCAAAAUCGAUUUGAAGAGUGGGUAUCAUCAGAUUUGGAUCCGCCCAGGAGACGAGUGGAAAACUGCGUUUAAAACGAAAGAUGGCCUAUACGAGUGGUUGGUAAUGCCUUUUGGACUAACCAAUGCUCCAAGUACUUUUAUGAGGGUGAUGACACAGGCCCUUCGGCCUUUCAUGGGCAAAUUCAUUGUUGUAUACGACAUCCUCGUGUACAGCAAAACAAGGGAACAACAUCGAGAUCAUCUCACGCAAGUUUGCUCUACAUUGCGUGCAACGAGCUUGUAUGCCAAUGUGAAGAAAUGUUCUUUCUUCACGGAUACAAUUGUGUUUCUCGGAUUUGUUGUUUCCGCUACGGGAGUUUCUGCUGAUUCUACAAAGAUUCGGGCAAUUGUUGAGUGGCCAGAUCCCAAGAAUAUACAUGAUAUUAGGAGUUUUCAUGGUUUAGCUACCUUUUAUCGUCGUUUCAUCAAGAGAUUUAGUACGAUCAUGGCUCCUAUCACAAAGUGUAUGAAGAGAGGAGAAUUUCAUUGGACGCGGGAAACGGCUAAGGCCUUUCAGUUAAUCAAAAGGCAAAUGACAGAGGCUCCUGUCAUGCGACUCCCAGAUUUUUCCAAAGUUUUUGAGGUCAAAUGUGAUGCGUCAAGGGUAGGAAUAGGUGGAGUCUUGAGUCAAGAACGCCAUCCUAUUGCUUAUUGUAGUGAGAAAUUAAAUGAUGCCAAGCAACGGUACUCGACUUAUGAUAAGGAGUUAUACGCAGUUGUACAAGCCUUGCGCUAUUGGCGUCAUUACUUAUUACCCCACGAAUUUGUCCUCUUUUCUAACUAUGAGGCUCUUCGUUUCCUUAAUUCCCAGAGACGAUUGAAUUCUCGGCAUGGCCGCUGGAUCGAAUAUUUACAAGCCUAUUCUUUUGUCUUAAAGCAUAAGAAGGGUGUUGAAAAUCAAGCUGCUGACGCUUUAAGCCGUCGCAUCUCCUUCUUGUCCGUCAUGAGUGUUAAGGUUCUAGGGUUUGAAAGACUUAAGGAAGAGUACGAGUUAUGUCCCGAUUUCAGGGACAUUUUUCUUGCUUUGCAUAAUGGGGAGUUGGACACCACUGAUGGUUUCCGUUUGGAGGAGGGCUAUCUUUUUAGAUCCAAUAAGUUGUGCAUCCCCAGGAUUUCAGUGCGAGACUUUAUAGUGUGGGAAAGUCAUGCUGGUGGGUUGGCUGGACAUUUUGGGCGUGAUAAGACCAUAGAGGAAAUUGAACAUCAAUUCUAUUGGCUCAGUUUAAAGACCGACGUGGCCAAGAUUGUCGGCACAUGUAACACCUGUCAACGAUCUAAGCACCAAAGGCAGAACACAAGCCUCUACACUCCUCUCCCCGUCCCUAGUUGUCCUUGGUAAGACGUUAGUAUGGAUUUCGUGCUAGGGUUGCCAUGUACUCUAAAGAAACACGACUCCAUUUUUGUUGUCGUAGAUCCCUUCUCAAAAAUGGCACACUUUAUUUCCUGUAGCAAGACUUCCGAUGCAUCUAAGGUUGCUAAGUUAUACUUCCAUGAGAUCGUCAAGCUGUAUGGCCUCCCUAAGACCAUUGUCUCUGAUAGGGAUGUUCGUUUCACUAGCCAUUUUUGGCGAACCCUAUGGAGUAUGGUUGGCACUAAACUAAAAUUCUCUACUGCAUAUCACCCACAAACGGACGGUCAAACUGAGGUUGUUAACCGCAGUCUUGGUAAUCUAUUAAGAUGUUUAGUCCAGGAAAAUCUUAGGAAUUGGGACUUAAUUCUUCCUACUGCCCAACUUGCAUAUAACAGUUCAGUGAAUCGGUCUAUAGGUAUGAGUCCUUUUGAGAUUGUUCAUGGUUUUAAGUCUAGGAAGCCGUUAGACCUUAUUCCUAUGUCUCCACAUGCUAGUGUGUCUGUGUCAGUUGAGUCUUUUGCACAACAUCUGCGUGACUUGCAUAUUGAGAUCAAUAAACAGCUAGAAGCGAGUAAUGCAUUAUAUAAACUUCGAGCUGAUUUGCACAAACGCCAUGUUGAAUUUAAUGUUGGGGAUUAUGUUAUGAUUCGAAUUAGACCGGAACGGCGUCCAUCUGGGCCUGCUUCUAAAUUGCAAACUCGUAGUGCUGGUCCUUUUAAAAAUUUAAAGCGUGUUGGUCCAAAUGCUUAUGUCAUUGACUUACCAUCACAUUUUGGCUACCACCCUAUCUUUAAUGUUAAAGACUUAGUUGCUUACAAAGGUCAAUUUCACCCCGCUGAUGAUCCUUUCACACCUCCAUCUCUGGACCCUCAUCCUGAACAUGUUAUUCCUGCCCCAAUUCCACCUGCUGCAGCACAUAAAGAUAAAAUUGAUGCUAUUCUAGAUGCACAGACUAUAUUAACCAAGGAUAGAGACAUUCAGUGCUUCCUUGUUCGUUGGGAGGGCCGUCCUGAUUCUGAUUGUACUUAGAUCCCCAAAGAGACACUUCAACAGCUUGAUCCUGACUUGUUGGAGAAUUAUAGGAGUCAACAAGAUCUUCCUCUACCCGGACCACCAUCCUUGCGUGUCUAUAGAUGUCGAAAGAAGUUUGCUCAACCGAUCAGUUUGUGGCUAGGAGAUUGACAGCAGCCUUUUGUGACCUACCUCCUCGACGAGGUCGAGUUUUUCUCCCACCCCGAGAGAGUUGAUGCGGACAUCAUCCUCAUUUUAUCUUUUAGUUAUUUAUUUUGGGCUUAUGUCUUUUACUUAUUUAUUUCGGGCCUAUGUCUCAUUGGGCUUGUAUAUGUGUUUGGUCCAAGCCCCCAAGUUAUUGUUUUGUUAUUUAUGUUAUUGUAAUUGGGAUCGAAAGUUAGUAGAUGAUGAAUGAAUGAAUUGUUGCCUUCCACUCCUCUGUCUUCUCUCUCCCCCCUCUUUCUUCUCUCACGUUUUCCCUUCUCUUUCCCCGGCUUCUUCCUCUUCUGCUUUUCUCUUCUUCUGCUGUUUCUUCCUACAUCACUAAAACUUGAAAUGGAAGGUGAUAACUUGUUGUACUGUAGAGAUGUAGCUAUAUCAUAAGGAGUACUAACCUUAUUUGAACCACCUGAACACAUGGAUUGAGGAUGAGCUGAGCAAGAAAGGAGAUUGCAAUGAUACUAUUCAAGGUAACUAGAAGUGUUCCUGACUUAAGACCUGCGAGGUAUAGGUGUAGAAGAGGGCCCAUUUGAAGUAGAAAUGGAAGUAUCCAAUUCUUGAGAGGGAAGAGGUUUAGGAAAAACGAAAGGAUUGUCAUAAGAAACGGAAGAUAAAUCUUUAUAAGGGAAGAUGUGUUCAUGAAAAACUACAUCUCGAGAUAUGAAAGAGGUAUGAAGAUCAAGAUCAUAAAGUUUAUAUCCCUUGACACCAUAAGGAUAUCCAAGAAAUAUACACCUACAAGCUCGAGGAGCAAAUUUUGAACGAUUGUGAGAGAGGGUAGAGGCAAAACAUAAGCUACCAAAGACUCUAAGUGAGCAUUAAUAGGAGGUUUGGCAUAAAGGAUCUCAAAAGGAGACUUGUGUUGCAACAAGGGAGUUGGUAAACGAUUAAUCAAAUAUGCUGCAGUUAAGACAGCUUCUCCCCAAAAUUGAAGGGGUAACUUGGCUUGAAACAUUGAGCAGGUGCUGAUGUUUGCGUUCGACUACACUGUUUUGUUUAGGUGUAGCAACACAACUCUUUUGUUAAAUAAUUCCUUUUUCAGCACAAAAAUCUUGCAUAUCAAGGUUGGGAGCAUUAUCAGUGCAAAAUUGUUUUAUUUUAACUUGGAAUUGUGUUUCAACGAGAUUAUAGAACCAUUGAAUGUAUGAUCUUGAUUCAGAUUUAUAGUGCAAAAGAUAAAUCCAUGUGGAUCUAGAGAAGUCAUCCACUAAGGUGAGAAAAUACUAUGCACCAUUUAAAGAAGGAUGAGCAAAAGGCCCCCAUACAUCACAAGUACUAACUGAAACACGUGUGUAGAAAAUGUAUCACUAACAAAGAAAGGAUGCCUAUUUUGUUUAGCCAUUGGACAAAUAGUACAAAGGAAUUCUUUAGGACUAGAGAUUACUUUAGAAUUGGAGUUAACAAGACUUUUUAAACAAGUAGGAGACAAGUGACCUAGGCGAAAAUGCCAAAGAUUAAAACAACUUGAAUUUGCAGAGGAAGUAGCACAUGUAGGAGACUGUAGGAAACCUUGACAGAUGAUACAAUCCUCAUUUUUCUUCACCAAUACCAAUCGUCGUCCAUGAGAUAAGGUCCUGAAUAAAGCAGUAACGAGAUAGAAAAAUUAAGCAACUAUUAGAACUAUGUGUGAGUUUACUGGCUGAUAGCAAGUUGAAAGAAAAGGAAGGAACACACAGGACAUUUGUUAAACGAAGUUUAUUUGAAAUGAGAAUAGUGCCAAUAUGAGUAACUCGUACAGAAGCACCAGUAGGCAAUUGAGCAAAAGAAUUUACUUUAGCUGUUAUAGUGUUGAGAAGAGAAGUUGAACACACCAUGUGGUCUGUUGCUCCCGUAUCAAUAAUCCAGGGAGCAUUCGAAAAAGAAGUAGGAGUAGAAGAAAAUGAUGGGCAAUGAUGUAUACAUGUCAUAUUGCAUAAUUUGAAUUGAGGCUGAAAUGAUGGGGUGAGGUUAUCACACUUACUGACCAAAGAAGCGUCAACGGGUGGAGCAUUGAUUGGUUUAAGUAAAUUGAGGAGCUGAUUGUAUUGUUCUUGAGUGAGUGGCAUUGAAGAAAGAUUCUGCUCGCUGGAAGAUGCCAUUGAAUGAACUUGGCUUGAAGAAUUAAUUCCUUUACUCUUGCCUGAUUUAAAACCCUAGAGGAAAACCAAUAAUUCUGAAGCACUUGUCAGUCGUGUGGGACGUAUAACCACUUUCAGCACAAUAUAAUUUUCCUUUUCGAGGGCCAGAUGGCUGCUUGAAUGAACCAGAUGAAUAUUGAGGCAGAGAAGGACCAGGUGCUGUCUUGCUAGCCAUAGCAGCAGAGUCAAACUGAGGAGUAUAAUGACCAAUAUGUAUUUGAGUUUCCUCUUGUAAAAUCAAAGAGAAAACUUUGUUGAGAGAAGGCGAGGGAUCAGAUAACAGUAUUUACCUCUUAAUGCAGCAAAAAUCUCAUUCAGUCCCAUAAGAAAGUGCAGAACGUAAUCUUGAAGAUGAUAAUCCAGUAGAGUUUUAACACCAGGACUGGAAUCAUUAGGUAAAGGACGAUAAUUGAAAUAUUGAUCCCACAAGGUUUUGAACUUGGUGAAAUAAUUAGUCACUGAUGACGAACCUUGAGUAAGAGCGCAGAUCGACCUUUUCAAUUGAAAGAUGUGGGGAGCAUUUCCUUAACUAAAUCUCUCUUCCAUUUCUUUCCACAGGUCAGAUGUAGUAGCAAUAUAAGGAACACUAGCAGCAAUAUCUUUAUUCAAGGAGUUUUAAGAUCCAAGAGCAAACCAUGUCAUUACAACGAAUCCAUGCUUGAUAAGAAGGAUCAGUUGUAGAUGGCUUUGGGAGAUUUCCAUUGAUAAAGCCAAGCUUGUUCUUAGCAGAGAUGGCCAUGGACAUUGAUCUCUUCCAAGGAAAGAAAUUGGAUCCGUUAAGAACUUAAGAAACCCAUACAGUACCAGGACUGUCAUUGUUUGCUAAGAACAGAGGAUUAGAAGAAUCUUCAGCAGCCAUAAUCACAAUCAGCAAAGGAACUAAUAUAGAACGCAGUAGAAGACAUAAAAUUGCUUUGAUACCAUAUCAAAAAAGGAGCUAGAAAAAGGUAAAAGAAUGGGAAAAUCCGGAGAGAAUCAGACUCUCUUUUCUUUUGUAUUCUGUAAAGAACUGAUUAAUGUUGUACAUUGAUUCUAUUUAUAGAAUUAGCUAUCAAAUUGCCAGCUACAACUAACUGCAUUCGAACUGCUAACUAACAGCUGUAACUAUUUAUUCCAGCUCAUCUUUUCUAACUUCAACUGCCUGUAACUGCAGCUUCAACUUUAGUUUUCGUUUCAGCUUCAGCCACCGGUUUUGCUUCAACAAGUUGUUGGGUUGUAACAGUGUUUCUUUUCAUCUUUUGAUUCAAUUCAGCUUGUGAGCACAUUUAAUCAUGGAACUUUGCACUCAUCAUCUGCGUCUGGUUUUAUGUCCAUUUGUAAGCAAAACUUCUAACCUUUGAAAUGCCUGGUUGGACGUUUUCUUUAUCUUUCCUUUCCUUGUACAAGCAAACGUUGAAUUGCCUCUUCCUUAUGAUGAUAUUAUUUCUCAGAAAUUGCUCAAGAUUAAAAAAACAGUAAAUAUAUUCAUAAACUGUCUUUGUACUUCCUUUUUGUAGCCAUUCGCGGAAAUUGGUUUCUUGAUUUCUGACACACUAGAUGGAGGGAUCAAGCAAGGAUCACCAGGUACAAAUCAUUCCACGUGGUAGGAAAUUUUGUCUUCUAAUCACUUCUUCGGUUUUGCAAUAUAUUAGAAAGUUUUGUUCUCUGUUCUAUGUUUGGUGUAAAUAAAAUUGUAUCGUCAAUUUAAAUAGUGAAUUUUGUUAGUUGCAUAUUGAGAUACGCAUACAAGUUAAGCAAGUUUUCUACGAAAUCUAAAUAUUGCUAAAUUGCACAAUGUGAC
rnacentral:lncRNA from 1 species